AGUCAAGGGAUAGGAUCAUACCUGAAUCUACUUUGAUAUCACUGUAACAACAUCUAUACUAUUAAAGCAAUAACAUGACAUACUAUUUCAAUAUACUCCAUAAUCACCAUAACAACUGAGUAUUAUUUCGAAAGCAUACAACCAUAUACACAAUAGCAAAACAUCUACUUGCCAUAAUCAUCAUCAACAAUCUUCAGAACAUACACACAAGAACUUACUAUGACGUCCCAUACCACCGGGAAGUAAACGAAAGAGAGCAAAACAAAGAACUCAUCACGGCGUCCCAUACCACCGGAGAGUACAUAAAAGAAUACAACCAAUAAUUCCAUAAAGCACAACUACUCCAUCAAUUUAUCAAAAACCGCGGGUAGCACAACCCCGCCAUGACUCAUUACCAAAAUCCACUUCCAAGUACCCAUACCAUAAUUCAACAUAAAGAAAGCAACAUUGUCAUAGCAUAGCAUGUAAUCAUUAGUUUUAUAAUUCAUUGAUAAAUA
rnacentral:lncRNA from 1 species